UACGUAGGGGGCAAGCGUUGUCCGGAAUCAUUGGGCGUAAAGCGCGUGUAGGCGGCCAGAAAAGUCCGCUGUGAAAACUCGAGGCUCAACUUCGAGCUGUCGGUGGAAACAUUCUGGCUAGAGUCCGGAAGAGGAGAAUGGAAUUCCUGGUGUAGCGGUGAAAUGCGCAGAUAUCAGGAGGAACACCGAUGGCGAAGGCAGGUCUCUGGGCCAUAACUGACGCUGAGAAGCGAAAGCAUGGGGAGCGAACAGG
rnacentral:rRNA from 1 species